rnacentral:misc_RNA from 1 species
AACCUUAUGGACCUGCGGGCGUAUACCUGCGGAAGGAUCAUUACAAGUGACCCCGGUCUAACCACCGGGAUGUUCAUAACCCCUUGUUGUCCGACUCUGUUGCCUCCGGGGCGACCCUGCCUUCGGGCGGGGGCUCCGGGUGGACACUUCAAACUCUUGCGUAACUUUGCAGUCUGAGUAAACUUAAUUAAUAAAUUAAAACUUUCAGCAACGGAUCU